AUGAGGAGGAGCUGGUGCUGCAGGUGGAUAUCACCUCGUCCUCGGGGGAGCAGCAGGAGUGGACGGAGCACGCGGCGGGCAAGGAGGCGCGUGGUGCAGCCGACCAAGAAGGCCAGGAACGCGUCUGGUGGUGACAAGGAGCCUGAUUUCCUCGGCGAGCCCUUCAACGCCGAUGAGGCGCGCACCAAGUGGCCACAACGCUACCAGCGAGGCCCUGCAAAGAGGCCAGAUGAGGAGGAGGACGUCAUGGCGCGGUGCCAAUACCGCUCUGCCAAGGUUGACGACGUAGUCUACGCGCUGGCGACGACGACUAUGUCAUGGCUAUCUAUGCCAUGA
rnacentral:rRNA from 1 species